UGCUUGCUAUAGGGCUGGGAGUUUAUGGCGAAUACCAAUGUAUAUUGAAAUCAAAAGUUUCAGUUUUGAGAAGUAGCUCUCCGAGCAAGAAAUUCUCUCAAAGUAAGGUCCCAAGAUAAGGCCGGGACCUAUUGUCUCAUCUUCUCUUCAACCUUGUUUCUGAAGGGUUAUCAUGGUCUCAUGACCUGGAUUACGAGUUUUGCGGGUUAGCCAAGUUGACUCGAUUGGUUUUCCUUUAUUUAAUUGGAUUUUGUUUCAGUUUCAUACUUCAACAUUGGAUUAAUUGAUAAUUAGACUUUAUAAUUAUUUUUUUAUUUGCUUUUUAUGGAGUUAUCCUAUUCUCCUCACCCGGGUUUGACAGGUUAAGUCGAGUCAUUGUUUUUGUCCUUUUUUAUUUGAUUUUAUCCUUCAACAUUGGGUUGAUUGAGAAUUGAGUUAAAUAAUUUUUUUUAUUUGUUUUCUAUAGGGUUAUCAAGGUCUCAUAACAUGGGUAGUAGAUUUGACAAGCUAACCUAAGUUAAUCCGAGUCAAUCUAAUAUGUUGUUGUUUCAAUACUUAAAAAAAAAUAUAUCGUCUUUAUUUUUUUUAGUUUAACUACAUUUUUCUUUGUCAUCUAGGUUGUUUUUGGACAUGUCGAGUUGACUAGGUCAUAUCAAGUCAAUUGUUAUAUAAUUUUAAUUGGUUUCAACUAAAAAACACAUUAUCGACACCUAGAUAUUUUUUUAUGUCUAGAAAAAGUUUAAUUUGACCCAUAGAGUAGCGUGAGAAAUUAUCAGUUAAUAUACUAAAACAACUUGGAAUUUCAUUGUAACAGUGAACAAUGAGAUGCCAGGGCAUUGUACACUUUAGUCCUCAAAAAUAAAAAAUUGUGAGAAUUUUUUUUUUGUUUUCAACUUUUUUUUUUCAAUUUCAUCAUCCAUGUUGGUUAAAAUAAAAAAUCAGGAAAAAUAAAAAUGGAGAGAAAAUACAAAAAAAAUUGAAAAAAUGUUGGAAGAAAACAAAAAAUAUAUCAGUGAGCAGAAUAUACCAAAAUGCCUAGAAAAUUGUUGAAGACUUGUUGAGGAAGAUAAAAAUAUACAAGAUUGAAAAAUUUGAUAGUGUAUUUUCGAUUGAUAAAGGCCUUAUUGACAAAGAAAAAAUCAAUUUCAAGAAGGAAAUUCAAAAUUUCAUGUUGAAGGACUCAAUUGGAAUUUUUUAAUGUGUAAUUGAAUUUAUUGAGGGCUUAAUUGCAAUAAAAAUUGAUUUUUUGAAGUCAAUUUAGACUUUGAUUGGAAGCAGUUAAAGUCUGGGGGUUGAAUUGCAAUUGUUAAGAGUUAAUUUGGUCAAAUUAAGGCUUAAUUACAUAAAUAUUGAAGUUUGAUUGGCAAUUAAUGGCUUAAUUGAAGAAAUCCAAAACCAAUGACCAAAUUAAAAAAGGUGAGUGAAUGUAAUGGCUGAAUUGACCAAAUUAAGGGCCAAAUUGAAAGAAUUAAAAGUUUGUUGGUCAAUUGAGGGUCGAAAUGCAUAAAUUUAGAACCAUGGACUAAAAUGAAAAUAGUGGUCAACUUUAGGGCUGACAAUUAAGUUUGGCAAUGGUGAAAUUGUAUGAAAUUAAAAGUCUUAAGGCAAUUACAAGUAUAAUUAAAAGCAAUUGGAAGAGUAGGGACUCAAUUGAAAUUUUUUAAAUUCCAAAUUAAGAACCUUAAAUGACGUGUCGUUCAGACUUAAAGAAGAAAAGAUGAAUGACAUGUUAUUUGUCAGCUUGCACGUACGUUUUGAAAGUUUUGGUUGAUCAAGUUGACAACUUCAAAUGCAUAAAUGUGGAGUUAUAAACCUAUAAAUUGAGCAAAAUUGGAUCUAAAUAAAAGGCGUGCACCCCGUCUACCGAAUUCAGGUAGUUUCAAAUGAUGAUGAUGUCGGAAUUGCACCGACAAGACCUCAAAAGUGGGUAGUUCAGUCAACCCAACUAGUGCAAUUAUCAUACAAAAAACUUAUUUGGUUUUCCCAUGUUCACAUAUAAAGGCUCCUCAAUGGAUUCUUUUCAAGGGUUUACAACAUUUCCCUUAAGAUCAAGAGGUCAGAAAUGGAUUCAAAAUCUCUCAAAACCCUAGCAAAACCUUAUAAAUAACCUCUUCAAGAUCAAGAAAAAGGGGUUGAAAAAAAAUAGAAAAAAAGAAAAACAAA